rnacentral:rRNA from 1 species
AUUGAACGCUGGCGGCAGGCCUAACACAUGCAAGUCGAGCGGAUGAAGGGAGCUUGCUCCUGGAUUCAGCGGCGGACGGGUGAGUAAUGCCUAUGAAUCUGCCUGGUAGUGGGGUAUAACGUCCGGAAACGGGCGCUAAUACCGCAUACGUCCUUAGGGAGAAAGUGGGGGAUCUUCGGACCUCUCGCUAUCAGAUGUGCCUAGGUCGGAUUAGCUAGUUGGUGGGGUAAAGGCCUACCAAGGCGACGAUCCGUAACUGGUCUGAGAGGAUGAUCAGUCACACUGGAACUGAGACACGGUCCAGACUCCUACGGGAGGCAGCAGUGGGGAAUAUUGGACAAUGGGCGAAAGCCUGAUCCAGCAAUGCCGCGUGUGUGAAGAAGGUCUUCGGAUUGUAAAGCACUUUAAGUUGGGAGGAAGGGAAGUAAGUUAAUACCUUGCUGUUUUGACGUUACCAAAAGAAUAAGCACCGGCUAACUUCGUG